UACGUAGGGGGCGAGCGUUGUCCGGAAUUAUUGGGCGUAAAGCGCGCGCAGGCGGUUCUUUAAGUCUGGUGUUUAAGUGCGGGGCUCAACCCCGUGACGCACUGGAAACUGGGGGACUUGAGUGCAGGAGAGGAAAGCGGAAUUCCACGUGUAGCGGUGAAAUGCGUAGAGAUGUGGAGGAACACCAGUGGCGAAGGCGGCUUUCUGGACUGUAACUGACGCUGAGGCGCGAAAGCGUGGGGAGCAAACAGG
rnacentral:rRNA from 1 species